rnacentral:rRNA from 1 species
GUGAGGAAUAUUGGUCAAUGGGCGAGAGCCUGAACCAGCCAAGUAGCGUGCAGGAUGACGGCCCUAUGGGUUGUAAACUGCUUUUAUAAGGGAAUAAAGUGAGUCUCGUGAGACUUUUUGCAUGUACCUUAUGAAUAAGGACCGGCUAAUUCCGUGCCAGCAGCCGCGGUAAUACGGAAGGUCCGGGCGUUAUCCGGAUUUAUUGGGUUUAAAGGGAGCGUAGGCCGGAGAUUAAGCGUGUUGUGAAAUGUAGAUGCUCAACAUCUGCACUGCAGCGCGAACUGGUUUCCUUGAGUACGCACAAAGUGGGCGGAAUUCGUGGUGUAGCGGUGAAAUGCUUAGAUAUCACGAAGAACUCCGAUUGCGAAGGCAGCUCACUGGAGCGCAACUGACGCUGAAGCUCGAAAGUGCGGGUAUCGAACAGG